rnacentral:miRNA from 13 species
CUGGUACGGGGCCGUGGGAGAGG